UUUUUUAAUUGAAAACUUGUAUGAAUGGUUUAAUGAGAUAUUUUCUGUUUCAUAAAAAUUUUUAGAAAUUAAUUUUUUAGUUAAAAAGCUAAAAUAUAAUUAAAAGACGAGAAGACCCUAUAGAGUUUUAUAUAACUUAUAUUUUAAUUUUUAAAUAAUCAUUAAAAUUUUAAUUUAUUUUGUAUUUUGUUGGGGUGAUAGUAAAAUUUUAUAAUCUUUUAUUAUUUUAAAACAAUGAUUUUUGAUUAAUUGAUCCAUUUAUAUUGAUUAUAAGAUUAAAUUACCUUAGGGAUAACAGCGUGAUUUUUUUUUAGAGUUCAUAUCGAUAAAAAUUUUUGC
rnacentral:rRNA from 1 species